rnacentral:rRNA from 1 species
AUUGAACGCUGGCGGAAUGCUUUACACAUGCAAGUCGAACGGUAGAGGGGGCAACCCCUCGAGAGUGGCGAACGGGUGAGUAAUAUAUCGGAACGUGCCCAGUCGUGGGGGAUAACGUAGCGAAAGUUACGCUAAUACCGCAUACGAUCUACGGAUGAAAGCGGGGGACUCGCAAGAGCCUCGCGCGAUUGGAGCGGCCGAUAUCAGAUUAGGUAGUUGGUGGGGUAAAGGCUCACCAAGCCAACGAUCUGUAGCUGGUCUGAGAGGACGACCAGCCACACUGGAACUGAGACACGGUCCAGACUCCUACGGGAGGCAGCAGUGGGGAAUAUUGGACAAUGGGCGAAAGCCUGAUCCAGCAAUGCCGCGUGAGUGAUGAAGGCCUUAGGGUUGUAAAGCUCUUUUACCCGAGAUGAUAAUGACAGUAUCGGGAGAAUAAGCUCCGGCUAACUCCGUG